AUUAACGCUGGCAGUGUGUAUAAUACAUGCAAGUCGAGUGGUCAGCACUUUGCCUACAUUUUAAUGUAGUCAGGGUGCUGGCCACGGCAGACGGGUGAGUAACACGUUGGUACCUGCCCUGAAGUGAGGGAUAACCCCGCGAAAGCGGGGCUAAUACCGCAUAUGAUCGUAAGAUUAAAGCUUCGGCGCUUCAGGAGGGGCCUGCGCAAUAUCAGCUAGUUGGUGAGGUAACGGCUCACCAAGGCUAUGACGUUUAGCUGGUCUGAGAGGAUGAUCAGCCACAAUGGGACUGAGACACGGUCCAUACUCCUACGGGAGGCAGCAGUAAAGAAUCUUCCGCAAUGGGCGCAAGCCUGACGGAGCAACACUGCGUGGAGGAUGAAGGCUUUCGGGUCGUAAACUCCUUUUCUGGGGGAAGAAGUUCUGACGGUACCCCAGGAAUAAGCGACGGCAAACUACGU
rnacentral:rRNA from 1 species